GAUGAAGAACGCAGCGAAAUGCGAUAAGUGAUGUGAAUUGCAGAAUUCAGUGAAUCAUCGAAUCUUUGAACGCACAUUGCGCCCGCCAGUAUUCUGGCGGGCAUGCCUGUUCGAGCGUCAUUUCAACCAUCAAGCCCCAGGCUUGUGUUGGGGACCUGCGGCUGCCGCAGGCCCUGAAAACCAGUGGCGGGCUCGCUGUCACACCGGGCGUAGUAGAUUUUAUCUCGCUCAGGGCGUGCUGCGGGUUCCGGCCGUUAAAAAGCCUUUUUUACCCAAGGUUGACCUCGGAUCAGGUAGGAAGACCCGCUGAACUUAAGCAUAUCAAUAAGCGGAGGA
rnacentral:misc_RNA from 1 species